rnacentral:rRNA from 1 species
UCCUGGCUCAGGAUGAACGCUAGCUACAGGCUUAACACAUGCAAGUCGAGGGGCAGCAUGAAGUUGCUUGCAAACUUGAUGGCGACCGGCGCACGGGUGGGUAACGCGUAUCCAACCUUCCCUAUACUAGAGGAUAGCCCGGCGAAAGUCGGAUUAAUACUCUAUGUUCUUCGUAGAAGACAUCUGAAAUGAAGCAAAGGUUUACCGGUAUAGGAUGGGGAUGCGUCUGAUUAGGUUGUUGGCGGGGUAACGGCCCACCAAGCCCACGAUCAGUAGGGGUUCUGAGAGGAAGGUCCCCCACAUUGGAACUGAGACACGGUCCAAACUCCUACGGGAGGCAGCAGUGAGGAAUAUUGGUCAAUGGACGAGAGUCUGAACCAGCCAAGUAGCGUGCAGGAUGACGGCCCUAUGGGUUGUAAACUGCUUUUAUACAGGGAUAAAGUGACGUACGUGUACGUUUUUGUAGGUACUGUAUGAAUAAGGACCGGCUAAUUCCGUGCCAGCAGCCGC